rnacentral:lncRNA from 1 species
GCAUAGAUUUCUCCUCCAGCCAAGGCAUGUCAUCAUCACUCUCUGCCGCCUGUCAAACAACCACUAAGAGAACUUCAUAUCUAGGGAUCUACAUCAGAAAGACAUCUACCAUAAAUCACUGAUCUUAAGAUUAAUAUUUAUAAACACCAUAAAAAACCCUGUAAAAGACAACUUAGUUAGAACUUAUAGAAAACUACCAAAAUCGUGGCUCAAACCAAAAAAAAAAAAAAAAAAAAAAAAAAAAAAGCUCAAGGCUAUCCUAUGAAAAAAUCAAACUGCUAAAAAACCCUAUAAAAGACAACUUAGUUAGAACUUAUAGAAAACUACCAAAAUCGUGGCUCAAACCAAAAAAAAAAAAAAAAAAAAAAAAAAAAAACGCUCAAGGCUAUCCUAUGAAAAAAUCAAACUGCUAAAAAACCCUGUAAAAGACAACUUAGUUAGAACUUAUAGAAAACUACCAAAAUCGUGGCUAAAACCAAAAAAAAAAAAAAAAAAAAAAAAAACGCUCAAGGCUAUCCUAUGAAAAAUCAAACUGCUAUUCUAGUCUUUGAUAAUCCAAAAAACAAGUAGUCUUUCCAAUCCUAUGGGAAGGGAAAAAAGCAAUUUGUGGAGAAUGGACCUAUAAAAGGCUCUAAUUCACAUACUUCAGCUACUGUAAUGUACUCAAAAGCCAUUGUUAU